AGAAAUCACAGGAUCUAAAAAGAUUGCUGUCCAGUCUUUAUAUUAGAACUCAUUGAUGUCUCAUCCGAUGAAUUUAAGCUUUUCAGUUCAAGAAAUAUUACAGCUGACCACCAGCUCGAUUAUAGCUUAAGAAGAACAUAAAAAUAGUUAAGCAAUAAUUCCUAAGCACUCUCAAGUAAACAUGGCCAAGGGCCAGUUUGGGACCGAGACCAGACAGAUCAGACCCAGGCCUGUUAACCUGUCCAUGGUUCUGAACCAGCGUGGAACUGCCGCCUCCAAAGAUCAGGCUCAGUCUCCCCUUCAAUGAACUGUGAAUUGGACAGAACCCAACAGUCCAACUUGAUUUGACCAAGAUUUUUUUUUUUUUAAAAAAAGAGGAUAAUAAAAGCUGAUAUAUCAAUAACAGUAUCAUGUACAGGGAAACUCUUGUAGUUAUGAAGUUUUGUUGCUUACUUUUUCUUUGUAUUCUUUGCCAU
rnacentral:misc_RNA from 1 species